UUUACAGAACGCAGACAGUGGAUGCCUUGGUAUGAAGUACCGAAGAAGGACGUACAUGAUCACGAUAGUCGUCGGGGAGGAGUCACGAUCCUGUGAUCCGGCGGUGUCCGAAUGGGGAAACCCACAGCGCUUCAUCGCGUUGGACUCGUGCCCCAAGGGGCACUUCAAACUGUUAACACUUAACUUUUAACAAAUUAACAAGAUAAAGCUCAAUAACAUUUUUAGCUUUCGGUUAAUAGUUAAUUGUCAAUUGUUGAUAGUUCGAAGUGCCUAAUAAGGCAGGUAGAGGGUACCACCCGAACUGAAACAUCUAAGUAGGGUGAGGAAGAGAAAUCAAUAGAGAUUGCGUCAGUAGCGGAGAGCGAAAUCGCAACAGCCUAAACCACUGUGCUUCGCACAGAGCUUUUAACAUUUAACUUUUAACAAAUUAACUAAAAAAGCGUAAUCUUAAUUUUAUAUUUUCUUUCUUAAGUUGAUAGUUAAUUGUUGAUUUGUUGAGGGUUCCGCGCGGAGUGCGGUGGGGUUGCAGGACUCCGAUAUGGGACCUCGUUAGAUAGCUGAAUGACUUGGAAUAGUCAAUCAUAGAGAGUGAAAAUCUCGUAAGCGAAAUCAAGCGGGGCUCUAGGAGUAUCCUAAGUAUCCCGAUGCAAAUACUUCGGGAGAAUCCGGGGGAACCAUCCUCCAAGGCUAAAUAUACUUCAUAACCGAUAGUGAACAAGUACCGUGAGGGAAAGGCGAAAAGAUGAGCGGGACGCUCAGUGAAAUAGAACCUGAAACUGUUUGCGGACAAACCGUCAGAGCUGCUGUGCAGCUCUGAACAAUUAACUUUUAACUUUUAACAAAUUAACCAAUAAAGAGCUUGCUUUAGAAUUUUAUAUAACUCUUUAAGUUAAUUGUUAAUUGUCAAUUGUUGAUAGUUCAGCGCUGUGCAACAGUGAUGACGUGCCUAUUGAAGAAUGAGCCGGCGAGUUGCCGCGUAGCGCAUAGUCUAACCGAGUCUGACUCGGGAAGGCGCAGGGAAACCAAGUCUGAAUAGGGCGAUUAGCGCGAAGUGGCAGACCCGAAACCAGGUGAUCUAUCCAUGAGCAGGGUGAACUCCGUCGAAAGACGGAAGGAGGCCCGAACCCGUUGAUGUUGCAAUAUCAUGGGAUGACUUGUGGAUAGUGGUAAAAUGCCAACCGAACCUGGAGAUAGCUGGUUCUCCCCGAAAGGUCUAUAGGGACCGUGGUAGUGUAAAGCAUAGAGGUGGUAGAGCUACUGAAUGGGUAGGCGAGGGUAACCGAGUCUACUUAACCAAACUCCGAAUAACUCUAUGGAUCCGCUACUAGACAGUCAUAUCGGGCUAAGCUGAUAUGACGAAAGGGAAACAACCCAGACUUUCAGCUAAGGCCUCUAAAUCACAACUAAGUUUCAAAGGAAGUCAGUAUCCCCAAACAGCCAGGAGGUUGGCUUAGAAGCAGCCACCCUUUAAAGAUAGCGUAACAGCUCACUGGUCGAGGAUGCGGGCGCCUAAAAUUUAUCGAGGAUAAGUUGUGUGCCGAAGCUAGAGAUGCUCGUACUUCGUACGAGAUUUAUCAUUUUUCAUUUUUCAUUAUCCACUUAAUUUCAAUUGAUCAAUUUUCAAAUUGUUAAAUUAAUGGCAGAUGUUAAAUGAUUAAAUGAACGAUCUCGCACGGAGUGCGAGUGUGGUAGGGGAGCGUUCCAUGUGCAGUGAAGUUCGUCUGUAAGGACGGGUGGAGUGCAUGGAAGUGAGAAUGCCGGCAUGAGUAGCGUAUAUCCCGGUGAGAAUCCGGGACGCCGAAUACCCAAGGUUUCCGUCGCUAGGUUCGUCCACGACGGGUUAGUCGGCACCUAAGGCGAGGCCGUAUGGCGUAGUCGAUGGGUGACAGGUCAAAAUUCCUGUAUUUACCUUGAAUCGAAAGAGCGUGCGUAGCACGCAGCGCAUAGAACAUAGCGCAUAGCGCAGAGAUUAAGAUUUGUUCAAUUCUUUUUCCUAUGCACUUUGCACUUUGAACUUUGCUCUGCAUGCUGCGCAUGCUAGUUGGGGACUGACUGAGUUGGAUAGCUAGGGCCCCUUCGUGAAGUUGGGUGUAAGUUGCAAAAUAGUGUCAGUUGGAAAAUCCGCUGAUGUGAUUAAUUGAGCAGUGAUGCAAAGCUGGCAGAAAUGCUGGUGAUCCUAACCUAUUCAGCUUACAAGAAAAGGUUCGCAACGAGAUUUAAGAUAAGCCGUACCGCAAACCGACACAGGUGGGUUGGUAGAGAAUACUAAGGCGAUCGAGAGAAAGAGGCUUAAGGAACUCGGCAAAUUAGCUGGACGUAAGUUCGCAAGAUGUCCUUCCCGACAGCGCAAGCUUGUCGGGAUACAACAAAAGAAUGCUAACCGACUGUUUAUCAAAAACACAGGUCCGUGCAAAAGCGAAAGCUGAAGUAUACGGGCUGAUGCCUGCCCAGUGCCGGUAAGUGAAGAGGAUCCCUGACUCCGCAAGGUUUUUGGGGUGAAUUCAAGCUCCGGUAAACGGCAGCAGUAACUAUGAAACAUUUGUAGUUCUAAAAGUCGACUAUAUGCUGGAACAUCCGGUUGUAUAUGUUGGUACUAGAUUAGAUAAUUUAUUUAGUGAAAAUCCAACAUCGGACGUUGUUCAGUGCGCCGCGUCAAACGCGGCUGGCACGUUCGACGUGCCGGACAAUCAGCAGGAAAGGCCUUUCUGGAAAUAAUAUUGGAUAUUUUCUUGCAGGAUUUGUAGAAGGAGAAGGAAGUUUUAAUGUCUCAUUACGACGAAAAGUUGAUUAUAAAGUUAAUUGGCAAGUAGUGAUGAGUUUUAAUGUUUCGCAAAAAGAUCCUUCAAUUUUAUUUCUGUUAAAACAGGAGUUGGAUUGCGGGAUUAUUAAAGUUAGAAAAAUUGACAAACUUUAUUCUUUCGAUGUAACAAAUCCACAAGAUAUAAUCCGAAAAGUCAUUCCGUAUUUUAAAAGAUUUCCUAUUGUUUCAGUAUCAAAAAGGAAGAACUUUGCAAUAUUUUGCAAAAUUGCUUCUUUAAUGGAUAAAGGGGAACACAGGAGUAUAGAUGGUCUCAGGAAAAUUCUCGAACUUCGGGAGAGAAUUAACGUAGGAAAAGGUAGGACCAGAAAGUAUGGAAUAAAAGAUAUUUUUCCUGAAAUGGAAUCCUCAGAGACUAUACGUCGACCUUCGGUAUUAAAACCGGAGAUGAUAUAGUCCGACCUCUAUAGCGAUAUAGAGACUACGUAACCAUCCGUAGCAUGUAACAAAAGUGAACUGUUCUACGGUAGCGAAGUUCCUUGUCGGGUAAGUUCCGACCCGCACGAAAGGCAUAACGAGUUAGCAACUGUCUCGAGCCUCUACUCGGCGAAAUUGCGAUGGCUGUGAAGACGCGGCCUACUUCCAUCAGGACAAAAAGACCCCGUGGAGCUUUACUGUAACCUGGUAUUGUUUUGUGCGUUUUAAUUGUUUAGUGUAGGAGGGAGGUACGUUCAUUUACUGAACGUACCACAAGUGAAAUACCUCCCUUUGAAACGUUUCAAAUCUUACUUAAUUCCGAUGAAGACUCGGAAAAGAAAAGUGCUAGGUGGGCAGUUUUACUGGGGCGGUACCUUGCCAAAAGGUAACGCAAGGGCACAAAGGUCGGCUUAGCACGGAUGGACAUCGUGCUGAAUGUGUAAAGGCAUAAGCCGGCUUGACUGCGACACAGGCGUGUGGAGCAGGAACGAAAGUUGGUCUUAGUGAUCCUCCGAUGCCAUGUGGGUGGCACGGAGCUUAAUGGAUAAAAGCUACCCCGGGGAUAACAGAGUAGUCGCGCCCGAGAGUCCAUAUCGACGGCGCGGAUCGCUACCUCGAUGUCGGCUCAUCGCAUCCUGGGGCUGGAGAAGGUCCCAAGGGUCGGUCUGUUCGCCCGUUAAAGCGGUACGUGAGCUGGGUUCAGAACGUCGUAAGACAGUGAGUAGUCCAAGCUGUCUCUAUCUGUAGACU
rnacentral:rRNA from 1 species